ensembl:lncRNA
ACCUGGAGGCUGCAACCCGCCCUGGGCUUUAAGACCUGGCUUCCGGGUGUGAUGUCAGGCUGAUCUGUCCAGCUGUGACAGGCUAAUCCCUCCACUCUGCUGAGAUAGGAGAAUAAUCCCCAAAGAGGUUUCAUACCGGAUGAGUAGCACCAACCCAGGACUGGGCUAGCCAUGUAUAGCUCACAUCUGGCUCCUCCCCCAAGGAAAAUGCUCUGGAUGAGGAUCCCUCCACCUUUAGUUAACUAAGCGAGGGGGAGUUUCAGGAGGAUCCUGACCCCCAGCUGGAUCCUCAGCAAGGGCUGCCUGGCUGGGAUAAGAGAGAUCACCUGCAGGGAGCGCCGGGAGCCUGCUAUUAGCUUCCCUCUCCUGCUUUCAUUGCUUUGCCUUCCUUUCCUCAGCAGAGCGGAACCCCAUAAGCAAUUAACCCUUCACAAGCUGAGUCACCGGACUUUGGAUAAUACAGGAUUAGACCAUUUAGCUGAAGCAGCUCAAGUCUGUAAAUAUGCAUGGGUUUCUGGAGCCUUUGGCAAUGCCUUAUAUGGAUUUCCUGAAUCAUCAGCAGAACACAGAGGACUGGAUGUUCCCAGGCCAGAACAUCUUUUUGGAGACCCAAAUAAAGAAAUGACUUCCAGUGGCUACCCCAUCAGCUACGAGAAGAACCAGAGGAAAGUUUGAUCCCACAGGAAAGAUGACAGCAAGAACACGUGUCUGUCAGCCUUGGCUAGUCUGGCUCUCCCCACCACCCUGCUGCUGGUGUGUAGCUGUAUCAGAGACAUUGCCUGGGAAGACCACGUGGGACCAGCUGUGUCUGAAACUCUGCUGAUUCUCAGAAGUGGAUAGCCGAAGAACUGCUUUCAAGCUACACAGUAGGAUAAAGAGGUAACCUGAUUCUUCUGCUUGAGUGGCUUCACGAAGCAGCGAACACUUUUCCUGUCCAUUGUUGAACCCCUCAUGCCUAACCCAGUGCCUAGAACACAGGCUCGUCAUAGAUGUGUGGAAUGAAUGGAUGAAAGAAAACAACGAAGAGCCAGUUGUCGGUGGAGGAUCCCAAAGGAGCAGUUCCGCCUUCAUGUUGAAGACUUUCUUUGCCCUGCAUGUUGUAACCACAUAAAGCUAGCUGGGAGCCACGUGGCUGCCCUCAUUGUUGCUCCUUGGCAAUGUUCUCUCUGUGCCAGGCAUCAAACAUGAGCCCCUCAGUGGGAUCCCUGCCCUGUGUGCGCCCCAAUACCUGGACACUUCCUGGAUGCUCCAAGAGGAUGGAGAUUUGCCCCUCCCGACUUUCCCAUGAUUAAUGUUUGUCCGUAGCCUUGUCACAACCAACCUUGGGAGUGUUGCUGGGUUCUGGUGGGGGUCCCUCCUGAGAGAGGCCUUUCUAUUCUGUGAGGUGAAUUGAAGGCUGUCAAACCUUUCGCUCAAACUGGUCUCAUCUGCAUCAAGUCGUACAGAAAUUCCUUGAAAUGUCUGGUAUGUGGGUGGAAUCCUUUUUCAGUUUUGAAGAAUGACAGAUUUUCCCCUAUCAUUAUUUUCCUUUGGCUGUGUCAAUGGGAGUUUGGAAGAGAGACAGGAUGGGAAGUUCAAUGUGAGGAUUUGAAUGCCUGUCACAGAAUAGAAGUCU